CAGUCGCCGCGGGAAUACGUAGGUCCCGAGCGUUGUCCGGAUUUAUUGGGCGUAAAGCGAGCGCAGGCGGUUAGAUAAGUCUGAAGUUAAAGGCUGUGGCUUAACCAUAGUACGCUUUGGAAACUGUUUAACUUGAGUGCAAGAGGGGAGAGUGGAAUUCCAUGUGUAGCGGUGAAAUGCGUAGAUAUAUGGAGGAACACCGGUGGCGAAAGCGGCUCUCUGGCUUGUAACUGACGCUGAGGCUCGAAAGCGUAGGGCGCAAACAGGAUUAGAUACCCCAGUAGUCCCUGUCUCUUAUACC
rnacentral:rRNA from 1 species